rnacentral:lncRNA from 1 species
UUUGAUAGUUAGAAUUGGUUCCUGGGUGAUUCUCUAGGACAUACUUCUUCAGAGCAGUGGUAGAGCAGGUCUUCGGCUCAUUCAUGGCAGCAAUGGCAGACAAGAUUGCAUAUUCCAUCAGGCUUCCACCAAGCAGGGGUUUCUCCCCUGAUUUCUUCAGCUGUUUUCCAAGGAGGAAGAGAAAAGCAUCAAGACAACACUCUCCCAAAGCAGGUCAAGACAAGACUCCUCUGCACCAGGAUGUGGAACAAGGCGAAGAUGUCUGCUGUUACCACUUCUACUCAACACUGUAAUGGAGGUUAAUCUAGAGCAAUCAGGCAAUCAGAAGAAGUAAAAGACAUCCAGACUAGAAACAAAGAAGUAAAAUGCUCUUUAUUUGCAGAUAACAGAUCCUGUAUGUAGAAAACUGUAAGGAAUUCACAAAGAAACUACUACAACUGGUGAGUUCAGCAAGGGCGAAGGAUACAAGAGCAAUGGACAAAUCGAUUGUAUUUCUACAGGUUAGCGUUAACAACCUGAAAACGAAAAUUAGAAAACACUUCCACCAUUCAAGACAGCAUGGAAAAAGAAUAAAAUACUUGGCAAUAAAUUUAACAAAAAAAAUUCAAGACUCGUACACCGAACAACUACAAAACACUGCUGAGAGAAAUUAAAUAAAGAGACCUCUGUGUCAUGGAUUGGAAAACUCAACGUUGUUGACAGUGAGUCUCCCCAAAUUGAUCUAUAGGUUCAAGGCAAUUCCUACCAAAACUCCAGCUGUUUUUUUGGUUUUUUUUUUUUGGCAGAAAUGGACAAUUUGUAUGGAACUGUACAGGACCCGGCAUAGUCAAAACAUUCCUGAAAAAGUUAGAGGGCUUAUAAUUCCAAAUUUCAAAAUUCACUAUAAAGCUACAGUCAGUAAGACAGUGCAGUAUUAGCAUGAAGGAUACACCUACAGAACAAAAGAGAACUCAGAAUCCGGAAAUAAACCCUUAUAUUUAUGGUCAAUUGAUUUUCAUAAGAUGCUACGGCAAUUCAAUAGGGAAGGGACAGUCUUUUCAAUAAAAGGUGCUGGAAUAAUCACACACCCACAUGCAAAAAGAUAAAUUAUACCCUUACCUCUCACUAUAAACAAAACAAUAUAGAUCACAGACCUAAAUGUAGGAGCCAAAAUUAUAAAACUCUUAAAAC